UACGUAGGGUGCAAGCGUUGUCCGGAAUUAUUGGGCGUAAAGAGCUCGUAGGCGGUUUGUCGCGUCGAAUGUGAAAACCCGGGGCUCAACCCCGGGCCUGCAGUCGAUACGGGCAGACUAGAGUGCGGUAGGGGAGACUGGAAUUCCUGGUGUAGCGGUGAAAUGCGCAGAUAUCAGGAGGAACACCGGUGGCGAAGGCGGGUCUCUGGGCCGUAACUGACGCUGAGGAGCGAAAGCGUGGGGAGCGAACAGG
rnacentral:rRNA from 1 species